rnacentral:lncRNA from 12 species
CAAAAUGACUCUUGAUGUAAAAGUAAUAUGUUUCCAUCAAAGUAGGAUCUCCCCAGAUGGAUCUAGCCUCCCUACACUGGAACUCAUAGGGUCCUGGACAACCUCCAAAGCUCUUGACUCCCCUUCAUCUAUCCAUAAGCUUGUAAGACAAAUGAGACUAAAUAGUGUUCUCCUUUUACAGAGAAGGCUGCAGGCACCCAGAGAGGACAGGCUCCAACCCGCCCCAGGAGUGAUGCCUGAGACCAAGGGGAAAGAUGGACAGUGGAUAUUCUGGGCGAGGCAGAGAGCACCACACAGCCCUAGGGUUCCUGUGCUGGUGUGCACUGCAGCUCCAGCUUCGCAGAAUUGCCAAGGAGACCGUGAGCAACCCCACACAGGAUGGUCUCAUCCCGGCUUACACCCCACAGUGCACAUGCAGAGCACAUAUAUGAAGAAUGAAUACACGAAGCCACCAGGUGACCCUGACUCAUCACAUCACUCUGUUCUUUGGGCCUCAGUUUCCUCACCUAUCAAAUGGGCAUGAUAACUUUUACUCCGUCUACUUCCCAAGGUCGUAAGAGUUAAAUAAGAACCUUUGUGCAAGUAUUUUAGUAACUGCAAAGCUGGCCUGCCUUCCUGGCCUUGGUUUGCCUUCUGUAAAAUGAGGGUCCCUCCCAGCUUUGCUAUUCUGAAACUUUAGCUAGAGAUGGGGAUGCUCCUUAAAUACCCGCUGGGCAUUCAGGGGAAGGCAGAGGAUGCAGUGUCCAGAAAUAGAGCCCUGUCCAGGGCUAGGAAGGCCACUGUUGUAGUUCCAGAGUGACCCCUGAUUCACUAUAUGAUCUCUGGGCCUCAGUUUUCUUCUCUGUAAAUUGGGAGUGGCUGGACAUAGAAUGUCUGAAAUGACCUCUAGGAUUCUGUGAUGACAGGACAUUAUCCAGAGGGCAGCAGGAAACCACUGAUGGGCUUUGAGCAGGAGAGUAACAUGAUCCCAGUUGUGUUUCAGAGCACUUGCUCUGGCAGUGGGGUGGUUUGUGGGCAGAAGGGCAGGGAGGCCAGAGUCUGGAGCCUGGAAAAGGGCUGUGGCCUUUGCUCAGGCAACAGAAGACGGCAGCCUGAGUGUCUUCCUCAUGCUGAGCCCGUGCUUGGACUACUCUGCCUUUUCCCCAUGUCCCUGCUUUUUCAAUAUCACCCAUCUCAGACACAGUUCAGGGAGUACUUCCUCCCGGAGAAGGUCUUCCCAGCAUAUCUCUGAUGCAGUCACUUCCUCUGCCUUGUGGUUUCCCAUCACUGGACCAGUGUGGAUUACUGUUAUGUAUGUAUACACAAGAGUCCAUGCAUGUUCUUUCCUGGGCUGUGAGCUCCUGAGGUCAGGGUGGGUUCACCCCACCCUCAUAUCAUCUCUAGAACCCAUCACCCAGCCUGGCCCAGAGGAGGUGCUCAGUACAUGCAUGCAGAGUGCUGGGGAUGCCAGAGCAUCUUCCUUCCAUCUGCCAGAUGGGAGACUGGGCUCCAGCCCCAGCUUAACUGCCAAUAGCCAUGUGACCCUGGGCCAGUUGUUUCUCCUUUCUGGACCAAGGGCCUUUAUUGGGCAAGUAGGAAUUACCCUGAUUAUUCAUUCUUGAGUCAGGACUCUGAAGGGAGAGAGUAUCCUUAGCAUCCCUCCCACGCUAUUUUCUUUCCUUCAUCCUGGAUCACAGUGAGCUGUGACAAAUGUGACUCCCCACAGAACCCAGGCUCACUGGGAACCUCAGCCCUGGGUCCUGCAAAGUCCUGUGCAGAGGGUGCUAGAAGGCCUGUAUAGAAGGCCUGUAUAGAGGCCCCAACAGAGGGAUCCCAGUAGGAUCUCCAUAAAGGGUGAUGUGCAUCAAACAUAGGGCUUUGCAAGAGGCCAAGAGCGUUGGAAGUCCAAGAGCAACUGCAGCCUAGCCUCUACCCCCCAUUCUCCUGGGGCUAGCUAAGCUGGCCUCCCCUCAGAAGUGUGGGGAAGGGGUGCUGUCAGCCCCCCAAAGCAGAUGGAUCUUUAGCCAGCGCCACUCAGCCCCAGGCAAGCCCCGCAUGAAUCUCAGCCAGAUCCCCCUCCCCCUCCCCCGCCCCCACGGCCGGGACAGACCUCAGCCAGCAGGCCUCCCAGCUUUGAUCAAUACAGGGCAGGCAGCCAAGGCGGCUGCAGGCUCCCUCCUCCCAGGAGGCCCCAGCUCAGCCGGGGUCACGGGGGAGGGGCCCCCACCGCCCAGCUCUGGGGCUCUGGGGGCGGGGCGGGGCUGGGGAGGAGCCCGAGAGGCAGGCGUCCCUCCUGCGGAGCUUCACCCCUUCACCUGCUCACUGGAGCCCACAGAUACUUGGUGAGCAUCAACUUUGCACCAGGUGUGGCAUCAGUUCCCAGCCGAGGAGGACAGGACAGCUGCUCCUGUGAAACUGAGGUUCGCAUCCAGGAGAGAGAGAGCCCAUGAACGGAAGGAACCAACAAAACAAGAGGUGGUUUCCAAAGGUGCUAGAUACAGAAGAGGGUGCAGACACAGAGAGGUGGGGUGAGGUCGCACACGGUGAGCAGGGAGGCGGCCAAGGAGGAUAACGUCUGAGCUGAGACUCAAAUGAGGAAGAGGUGCCCACCAGACUGCCUCAGUGGGACUCCCAGAAGCGGGAGAGUGGGGGCAGGAAGCUCCAGGGGUGGGGGCAGGGGUGGGGUUGGCUCCACACCUCUGGGUGAGGCAAGCAGGGCAGGGGAAAGGAGGGAGUCCCGGACACUCAAGUCACAACAAAGGCCUCAGCUGCCCCCCUCCACGGAUCUAGGAGCCAGAAGAGCCUCUCCAAGCUGUCCUGUUCCAGACAAUGGGCCCAGUCUUUGUACCCUCACCCUGACCAGCCACUAGGUAGCUGCUCACAGGAAGGGCCAAGACUUUGGGGGAGCCAGCCAUCUUCAGGGGGAGGCGUUCCAACGGGGGGUCUCAACUGAGGGCAGGUGGGGAAUGAGUACCUCAUCCCCAGUGGGAAAUCUAGGUGGCACCCCUCAGCAUUUAGGAGGUGUGCUUUGAUUUGAAGGAAGAACAUUCCAGAUAGAGGAACAGCAAAUGAAAAUCCCUGAGGUGGAAAUGAGCUAAUGUGCCUGUGUAAGGCACAGAAAGAAGGCCAGCGUCAUGGAGUGUGCGGGGUGAAGGAGUCCGAGGACAGUGGUUAGACAGCAGGCAAAGGCCAGCCCAGAAGGGCCUGGAACCCAGAGACUUUAUUCUCUGUGUAAAGGGCCACACCAGAGAGUCUGAAGAGGACCGUGAUCUGAUAAUUACCUCUUAACCCUACCCUGGCUUCUGGAGGAGAAGGGGAGGGGACCCGGAGCAGUGGGAGGCCGUGGGAGGGUUCCCAGUGAAAGGGUUCCAGAUAAAUCUUGGCUGUCAAGGGGGAUAUCAUAGAGAUGCUUCCAGUAUCCUGUGGGAAUAUUCACCCAGGUGAAUUUUACUUUUUCCAACCUGAAAAUUCUGAAAUCUUUUGGCUUGGGGAAGAAACCUCAGACACCCCCAAUUCCUCUCCCCAACCUGGGCAUGAAGGCCCUUUCCAAAACUGGCAACUAGUGACCAGAGUUCCUGCUGCACCCCAAAGGGACUGAGGAGUUCAUGCCUCCCACGGAUCCCUCUGCUAGAAAGUUCUGAGAGCUCCCUCCUUGUAGCUGUUCCCAGGGGCCCCUGCUCUGCUCUGGGCCACACUAACCACAUCUGUUCCUUCUGCCCCAGGAGUUCCCCAAAGGUGAGGACAUGCUCCUGUCUCCACCCCGUCCCAUAUCUUGUCUAGUGGUGAUCUCAGAGGAUGUUCCCUCCCUACCUCAAGCCUGGUUCCUUGCCAGCUCACCGACUCAUUGCCAUGAUGUGCAUUUGAUUCUGCAAAUAAAUAAAAUUAAUUACUUACA